AGAGUUUGAUCCUGGCUCAGGAUGAACGCUGGCGGUCUGCUUAACACAUGCAAGUCGAACGGAAUGCUUUCGGGCAUUUAGUGGCGGACGGGUGAGUAACGCGUGAGAAUCUGCCCUUGGGAGUGGGACAACGACUGGAAACGGUCGCUAACACCGCAUGAGCCGAGAGGUAAAAGUAUUAAUAGCCCAAGGAUGAGCUCGCGUCGGAUUAGCUAGUUGGGGGUGUAAUGGACUCCCAAGGCGACGAUCCGUAGCUGGUCUGAGAGGAUGACCAGCCACACUGGGACUGAGACACGGCCCAGACUCCUACGGGAGGCAGCAGUGGGGAAUUUUCCGCAAUGGGCGCAAGCCUGACGGAGCAAGACCGCGUGGGGGAGGAAGGUCUGUGGAUUGUAAACCCCUUUUGACUGGGAAGAACACAAUGACGGUACCAGUCGAAUCAGCCUCGGCUAACUCCGUGCCAGCAGCCGCGGUAAUACGGAGGAGGCAAGCGUUAUCCGGAUUUAUUGGGCGUAAAGCGUCCGCAGGUGGUUAAUCAAGUCUGCUGUCAAAGCGCGAAGCUUAACUUCGUAAGGGCAGUGGAAACUGAUGGACUUGAGGGUGAUAGGGGCAGAGGGAAUUCCUAGUGUAGCGGUGAAAUGCGUAGAGAUUAGGAAGAACACCGGUGGCGAAAGCGCUCUGCUGGGUCACACCUGACACUGAGGGACGAAAGCUAGGGGAGCGAAAGGGAUUAGAUACCCCUGUAGUCCUAGCCGUAAACGAUGGGUACUAGGCGUUGACCGUAUCGACCCGGUCAGUGCCGGAGCUAACGCGUUAAGUACCCCGCCUGGGGAGUACGCUCGCAAGAGUGAAACUCAAAGGAAUUGACGGG
rnacentral:rRNA from 1 species